UACGUAGGGCGCAAGCGUUGUCCGGAAUUAUUGGGCGUAAAGAGCUCGUAGGCGGCCUGUUACGUCUGCUGUGAAAUCCCGGGGCUCAACCCCGGGCGUGCAGUGGAUACGGGCUGGCUAGAGGCAGGCAGGGGAGAACGGAAUUCCCGGUGUAGCGGUGAAAUGCGCAGAUAUCGGGAGGAACACCGGUGGCGAAGGCGGUUCUCUGGGCCUGUACUGACGCUGAGGAGCGAAAGCGUGGGGAGCGAACAGG
rnacentral:rRNA from 1 species